GACAGUUUGGCCGAGUGGUCUAAG
rnacentral:siRNA from 1 species